rnacentral:rRNA from 1 species
UACGUAGGGGGCAAGCGUUGUCCGGAAUCACUGGGCUUAAAGCGUGUGUAGGCGGGCCGUUAAGUAUCUUGUGAAAUCCCCCGGCUCAACCGGGGAAUGGCUGGAUAUACUGGCGGUCUUGAGCAAUCUAGGGGCAGAUGGAACAGACGGUGGAGCGGUGAAAUGCGUAGAUAUCGUCUGGAACGCCAAAGGUGAAGACAGUCUGCUGGGGAUUUGCUGACGCUGAGACACGAAAGCCAGGGGAGCGAACGGG